AUUGAACUCUGGCGGCAGGCCUAACACAUGCAAGUCGAGCGGAACGACGGCCGGGUGAGUAAUACCUAGGAGUCUGCCUGGUAGUGGGGGAUAACGUUCGGAAACGGACGCUAAUACCGCAUAUUAGCAGAUGAACAUAGGUAGAAUUAGAUAGUGGGUGGGGUAAUGGCUCACCAAGGCUACGAUCCGUAACUGGUCUGAGAGGAUGAUCAGUCAAACUGGAACUGAGACACGGUCCAGACUCCUCCGGGAGGCAGCAGUGGGGAAUAUUGGCCAAUGGGCGAAAGCCUGAUCCAGCCAUGCCGCGUGUGUGAAGAAGGUCUUCGGAUUGUAAAGCACUUUAAGUUGGGAGGCGUUACCGACAGAAUAAGCACCGGCUAACUCUGUGCCAGCCGCCGCGGUAAUUC
rnacentral:rRNA from 1 species